CUCAGGACGAACGCUGGCGGCGUGCCUAAUACAUGCAAGUUGAGCGCUGAAGGUUGGUACUUGUACCAACUGGAUGAGCAGCGAACGGGUGAGUAACGCGUGGGGAAUCUGCCUUUGAGCGGGGGACAACAUUUGGAAACGAAUGCUAAUACCGCAUAAAAACUUUAAACACAAGUUUUAAGUUUGAAAGAUGCAAUUGCAUCACUCAAAGAUGAUCCCGCGUUGUAUUAGCUAGUUGGUGAGGUAAAGGCUCACCAAGGCGAUGAUACAUAGCCGACCUGAGAGGGUGAUCGGCCACAUUGGGACUGAGACACGGCCCAAACUCCUACGGGAGGCAGCAGUAGGGAAUCUUCGGCAAUGGACGAAAGUCUGACCGAGCAACGCCGCGUGAGUGAAGAAGGUUUUCGGAUCGUAAAACUCUGUUGGUAGAGAAGAACGUUGGUGAGAGUGGAAAGCUCAUCAAGUGACGGUAACUACCCAGAAAGGGACGGCUAACUACGUGCCAGCAGCCGCGGUAAUACGUAGGUCCCGAGCGUUGUCCGGAUUUAUUGGGCGUAAAGCGAGCGCAGGUGGUUUAUUAAGUCUGGUGUAAAAGGCAGUGGCUCAACCAUUGUAUGCAUUGGAAACUGGUAGACUUGAGUGCAGGAGAGGAGAGUGGAAUUCCAUGUGUAGCGGUGAAAUGCGUAGAUAUAUGGAGGAACACCGGUGGCGAAAGCGGCUCUCUGGCCUGUAACUGACACUGAGGCUCGAAAGCGUGGGGAGCAAACAGGAUUAGAUACCCUGGUAGUCCACGCCGUAAACGAUGAGUGCUAGAUGUAGGGAGCUAUAAGUUCUCUGUAUCGCAGCUAACGCAAUAAGCACUCCGCCUGGGAGACC
rnacentral:rRNA from 1 species